rnacentral:rRNA from 1 species
GACGAACGCUGGCGGCGUGCUUAACACAUGCAAGUCGAACGGAAAGGCCCUGCUUUUGUGGGGUGCUCGAGUGGCGAACGGGUGAGUAACACGUGAGUAACCUGCCCUUGACUUUGGGAUAACUUCAGGAAACUGGGGCUAAUACCGGAUAGGAGCUCCUGCUGCAUGGUGGGGGUUGGAAAGUUUCGGCGGUUGGGGAUGGACUCGCGGCUUAUCAGCUUGUUGGUGGGGUAGUGGCUUACCAAGGCUUUGACGGGUAGCCGGCCUGAGAGGGUGACCGGCGACAUUGGGACUAAGGUACGGCCCAGACGGCUACGGGAGGCAACAGGGGGGAAUAUUGCACAAUGGGCGGAAGCCUGAUGCAGCAACGCCGCGUGCGGGAUGACGGCUUUCGGGUUGUAAACCGCUUUCGACUGUGACGAAGCGUGAGUGACGGUAAUGGGUAAGGAAGCACCGGCUAACUACGUG